rnacentral:rRNA from 1 species
CAGCCGCCGCGGUAAGACAGAGGAUGCAAGCGUUAUUCGGAAUGAUUGGGCGUAAAGCGUCUGUAGGUGGCUUUUCAAGUCCACCGUCAAAUCCCCGGGCUCAACCCUGGACAAGCAGUGGAAACUACCAAGCUGGAGUACGGUAGGGGUAGAGGGAAUUUCCGGUGGAGCGGUGAAAUGCGUUGAGAUCGGAAAGAACACCAACGACGAAAGCACUCUGCUGGGCCGACACUGAUACUGAGAGACGAAAGCUAGGGGAGCAAAUGGGAUUAGAUACCCCUGUAGUCCCUGUCUCUUAUAC